rnacentral:rRNA from 1 species
GAUGAGCGCUGGCGGCGUGCCUAAUACAUGCAAGUCGAGCGAGCAGACGAGGAGCUUGCUCCUCUGACGUUAGCGGCGGACGGGUGAGUAACACGUGGAUAACCUACCUAUAAGACUGGGAUAACUUCGGGAAACCGGAGCUAAUACCGGAUAAUAUAUUGAACCGCAUGGUUCAAUAGUGAAAGACGGUUUUGCUGUCACUUAUAGAUGGAUCCGCGCCGCAUUAGCUAGUUGGUAAGGUAACGGCUUACCAAGGCGACGAUGCGUAGCCGACCUGAGAGGGUGAUCGGCCACACUGGAACUGAGACACGGUCCGGACUCCUACGGGAGGCAGCAGUAGGGAAUCUUCCGCAAUGGGCGAAAGCCUGACGGAGCAACGCCGCGUGAGUGAUGAAGGUCUUCGGAUCGUAAAACUCUGUUAUUAGGGAAGAACAAAUGUGUAAGUAACUAUGCACGUCUUGACGGUACCUAAUCAGAAAGCCACGGCUAACUACGUG